CCCUUAGAUGUUCUGGGCAGCACGCGCGCUACAAUGGUCUUCGCAAACGGAUGCAUUCUCGAAGGAGAAUGCCAAUCUUGGAAUCUAUGCCUUGGUCGGGGCAGUUGCUUGCAAUUUUUCGACUCGAACCAGGAAUUCCUUGUAAUCGUGAUUCAUCACAUCACGAUGAAUACGUCCCUGCCCUUUGUACACACCGCCCGUCGCUCCUACCGAUCGAAGAGUUAGGUGAAUUGUUUUGAUCGAUAAGAUUUGACUAUGGUCAACUCUCGUUGUGAAAUUCUGUGAAUCUGACUGUUUAGAGGAAGGAAAAGUCGUAACA
rnacentral:rRNA from 1 species